rnacentral:rRNA from 1 species
GACAGAGGUGCCGAGCGUUAGGCGGAAUCACUGGGCUUAAAGCGUGUGUAGGCGGAUGCCUAAGUACCUUGUGAAAACUCGAGGCUCAACCUCGAGACGCCGAUGGAAACCCCCUGGCUAGAGUCCGGAAGAGGAGAAUGGAAUUCCUGGUGUAGCGGUGAAAUGUGCAGAUAUCAGGAAGAACACCCGUGGCUAAGGCGGCUCUCUAGUACGGUACUGACGCUGAGACGCGAAAGCGUGGGGAGCGAACAGG